GAAUUUGCUGGUGUAAGUGGUCGGUUUCUAAUCGGCCUUUGAGCGGUUCAAUUCCGUUCUUUUCCG
rnacentral:tRNA from 1 species